rnacentral:rRNA from 1 species
UACGUAGGAUCCGAGCGUUGUCCGGAAUUACUGGGUGUAAAGGGCGUGUAGGUGGGUUUCCAAGUCGGUGGUGAAAGCCUGCAGCUUAACUGCAGAAUUGCCCUCGAUACUGGAGAUCUUGAGUGCGGCAGAGGGAGAUGGAAUUCAUGGUGUAGCGGUGAAAUGUGUAGAUAUCAUGAAGAACACCGGUAGCGAAGGCGGUCUCCUGGUCCGCAACUGACACUGAGGCGCGAAAGCGUGGGGAGCAAACAGG